UACAGGCAUGAAACACCAUGCCCAGCCCCUAACCAGUUUUAAAAGUCUAAGAAUUGAAAAAAUAAAAAUUAUUAUUUACAAAUAAUAUGAUUAUACAGAAGAUUCAAGAGAAUCUACAAACUGUCAAAACUAAUGAGACAAUUCAACAAGGUUACUGGGAAUAAGAUCAACAUACAAAAAAUUAAUAGCAUUCCUACACAGAGGCAAUACCCAAGCAUAAAUGUAAUAAAACAUCUCAUUCCAAUAGAAACAAAAUCAUAAUGCACCUAGAAUAUAUUGAACAAAAUCUGAGUAAAACUUUUACAGAGGAAAUUUUAAAAAUUUACCAUCAGGCAUAAAUGGAAACUUAAAUGAAUGGGAAGAUAUACCAUGUUGGUAGAUGAAAAAAAUUCAGUUUCAUAAAAAUGUCUGUUCUCACUAAAUUAUUUCAAUAAAUUCAACUCCACCAGAAAUCCCAUGAAGGUUGUUAACAGAACUUGACAAUGUGACCCCUAUAAUUCACAUGUAAAAGAAAAGAUCGAAAAUAAGAUACUUUUGAAGAAGAUGAACAAUGUAGAAUGAUGUAUCCUAACAGCCAUCAUCCUAUUAUAAAGCUAUGAUAAUUUAGACGGCAUAAUGUUGGCAUAGAGAUAAACAAAUCAACCACACAGAAUAGGGAACCCAGAAACAGAACCACAUAUAUAUGGCAAUUUGGUACUGAAUAUUGUUGGUACUCUAUACUAGAAAGUUGGCAAUACAAAUCAUUGAGGAAACGAUAAAUUAUUUUCAUAAUGAUACUGAGAAAAUUAGUUACAUAUGGAAAAAAAAUUAGACCAUCUCGCGAAAUAAAUUCCAGGUGGAUUUUUAAAACUUAAGGCUAGAAAGCAAAAGUUGUAACAUUUUUAGAAGAAAAAAUGAAAAUUAACCCUAUGACAUCAAAAUAGGAAAAACUUUCUUAAGACCCAAAAAAGUAGAAGCCUUAAAGGGUAAGGCCAAAAAUAUUUACACAGUAAGUUUUGAAACCUCUAUACAUCCAUACAUCACAAACAAAGUAAAAAGAUAAGCCGGUGUAACUACCGCCCCUGCCUCUGGGAAUUGAAAUUUCUGUGGAAGGAAGCGUGAGCAGUAACCAGGCCAACCUAGAAAGGCUUUCUUUCUGAGAUUUCACUUCCCUAUCAACUCCUCAGCUCGAGGCACCAAAUAAUGUCAUCUGAAAUGUUGCCAGCAUUUAUUGAAACUUCUAAUGUUGACAAAAAGCAAGGCAUAAAUGAACAUCAAGAGGAAAGCCAGAAGCCAAGAUUAGGUGAAGGGUGUGAACCAGUAUCUAAACGACAAAUGAAAAAACUAAUAAAACAGAAACAACGGGAAGAGCAAUGGGAACUCCGCAAACAAAAGCGGAAAGAAAAACGCUAGAGGAAAAAAUCGGAGCGACAAUGUCAAAUGGAAUCAAACUCAGAUGGAAAUGACAGAAAACGUGUUCGAAGAGAUGUUGUUCAUAGCACCCUUCACCUCAUUAUUGACUGUAGUUUUGAUGACUUGAUGGUAUUAAGGGACAUUAAGAAACUUCAUAAGCAGAUUCAACGAUGUUAUGCAGAAAACCGAUGGACACUGCAUCCUGUGCAGUUUUACUUGACAAGCCAUGGAGGUCAGCUGAAAAACAACAUGGAUGAAAAUGACAAAGGAUGGGUCAACUGGAAGGAUAUCCAUAUCAAACCAGAGUACUAUAGUGAACUCAAAAAAAAAAGAAGACUUGAUUUAUCUUACAUCAGAUUCACCUAAUAUACUGAAUGAAUUAGAUGAAUCAAAGGCUUAUGUGAUUGGAGGAUUAGUAGAUCACAACCAUCACAAGGGACUCACAUAUAAACAAGCAUCAGAUCAUGGAAUCAAUCAUGCACAGCUCCCGCUUGGAAAUUUUGUGAAGAUGAAUAGUCGAAAAGUGUUGGCAGUUAAUCAUGUGUUUCAGAUUAUUCUGGAAUACCUGAAAACAAGAGACUGGCAAGAAGCAUUUUUUAUUAUCUUGCCCCAAUGGAAAGGAGCUGUUCCCACAGACAAAACCUGUGAAAGUGCUUCUUAUGACAAUCAGUCUGUCAGGAUGGAGGAAUGUGGAUCGGACAGUGAUUCCAGUGAGACGGAAGAUAGCAGAAAUGAACUAGAUUCACCACGUGAAGAAAAGCAGGAUAAGGAAAAUCACACUGAAUCUACAGUGAACUCUCUGCCACACUAAUGUUACCUGGUUUCCUUUUAGUUUAAGGAAAAAUUAGGAGAAAGCGAGGUGCUGUAUAGAAUAUUGAACAUUUUAUUUUCUGUUAUUUCUGCUGUGAAAUUUAAAAACUUUUUUUGGACCUAAAUAAUAAUAAAAAAAGUCCUUUAAACUUUGUAAGAAAAUAUUUUUGAUUUAGAAUAAGAAGAUUUAAAUGUGUAUUUUUGUUUGUUUUAAAAGCCUCAAAUAGUAGUUUCUAGAUAAUUUUACUUUAUUAACAUAUUUUCAUAUUCUUUAGAAUGUGCCUUCUGACCUCUCAGUUUUUUAAUUUUAUAGUCACAUCAACAUCUUUAUGAUCUAUUGCCUACGUAUCUGUGAAGGCACAUAUUCAUAAAUAUACUGUCAAUCUAUCAGAAUAUUGUGUAUGGUAGGUUACCCUCUAUUUGCAGUUUUUAUGUUUAACUUAGUUACUUGAAAUAAAUGUAGUAAUUUUAGGAAGAAGUAUCAGUUUGAUAGACUUAGUUCAUUUCUUUUGGACUACGGAACGCAUAUCUGUUCCUUCUUUGUGAUGCCUUUUUAUGGUUCUGAAGUAAUUACUGAAGAGUUGAGAAUCUCUUUAAUGCAUUUUCUUAAUUCUUACAAUGGUGAUAAGUUACUCCAAUUAUAAAAUUGAAUUUUGCAGACUAAAUUAUUUUAUAAGGCUGUUGCUAUUGAAAGAUCAAUUUUGUCUUUACCUGCAUUUAAAAUGGAACAGCUUUUAGCAGCUGUGGGUUUUUUUUCCAUAUAAUUUUUUAAUUUGUUGGCUCUUAAGAUGAAUAAAGUUUAUAUGUGCAUCUGCCUCCUCUCCUAUAAGAAUAUGCAUACUAAUUUAUGUUUCUAUAAAUCAAAUACACAUGUGAAAAUAUGCAUGUAAAUAUAUUUAUAUCUGUCCUCAUCA